UAACAAAUAUGCGUUUCAUAGUAAGCUUUAUCCAUUAUCCCAUAAUCUGGGAAUAAACAAAAAAACUAAAUUUACUACACGUUGGAGUUCAGGUCCGAUUCUGAAGUAGCAGAAUUGACAUGGGAAAAUGGACAGUUAGCUAAACACGACCUCGGUAAAAUGGUUUCUACGCCUGUUUAAGUUAGGACCUGUGAAACGUUAGAAUGAAUAGUCCAUCAAGGCACGUGGGAAAGGUUAAUCAAAUUGAGGCAAACUUUAGCUUAUUAGCUGCACUAUGUGCUGGUAACUGGCGGAGAGUUCAUCAGGCGACAUGCAGAUGAAACGAGAGGAGGCAAGUUUAAGUUCGAUGGCUGCGGCUUCUGGUGGAAAAUUGAGCAAAAGCUCGAGCCAUAUAGAUACGUG
rnacentral:lncRNA from 1 species